rnacentral:rRNA from 1 species
GGGUUGUGAGGUUAAGCGACUAAGCGUACACGGUGGAUGCCCUGGCAGUCAGAGGCGAUGAAGGACGUGCUAAUCUGCGAUAAGCGCCGGUAAGGUGAUAUGAACCGUUAUAACCGGCGAUUUCCGAAUGGGGAAACCCAGUGUGAUUCGUCACACUAUCAUUAACUGAAUCCAUAGGUUAAUGAGGCGAACCGGGGGAACUGAAACAUCUAAGUACCCCGAGGAAAAGAAAUCAACCGAGAUUCCCCCAGUAGCGGCGAGCGAACGGGGAGGAGCCCAGAGCCUGAAUCAGCAUGUGUGUUAGUGGAAGCGUCUGGAAAGGCGCGCGAUACAGGGUGACAGCCCCGUACACAAAAGCGCAUGUGCUGUGAGCUCGAUGAGUAGGGCGGGACACGUGGUAUCCUGUCUGAAUAUGGGGGGACCAUCCUCCAAGGCUAAAUACUCCUGACUGACCGAUAGUGAACCAGUACCGUGAGGGAAAGGCGAAAAGAACCCCGGCGAGGGGAGUGAAAAAGAACCUGAAACCGUGUACGUACAAGCAGUGGGAGCACCCUUCGGGGUGUGACUGCGUACCUUUUGUAUAAUGGGUCAGCGACUUAUAUUCUGUAGCAAGGUUAACCGUAUAGGGGAGCCGGAGGGAAACCGAGUCUUAAUUGGGCGUUAAGUUGCAGGGUAUAGACCCGAAACCCGGUGAUCAGCCAUGGGCAGGUUGAAGGUUGGGUAACACUAACUGGAGGACCGAACCGACUAAUGUUGAAAAAUUAGCGGAUGACCUGUGGCUGGGGGUGAAAGGCCAAUCAAACCGGGAGAUAGCUGGUUCUCCCCGAAAGCUAUUUAGGUAGCGCCUCGUGAAUUCAUCUCCGGGGGUAGAGCACUGUUUCGGCUAGGGGGCCAUCCCGGCUUACCAACCCGAUGCAAACUGCGAAUACCGGAGAAUGUUAUCACGGGAGACACACGGCGGGUGCUAACGUCCGUCGUGAAGAGGGAAACAACCCAGACCGCCAGCUAAGGUCCCAAAGUCAUGGUUAAGUGGGAAACGAUGUGGGAAGGCCCAGACAGCCAGGAUGUUGGCUUAGAAGCAGCCAUCAUUUAAAGAAAGCGUAAUAGCUCACUGGUCGAGUCGGCCUGCGCGGAAGAUGUAACGGGGCUAAACCAUGCACCGAAGCUGCGGCAGCGAACGUAUCACCCAAGACAACUUUACGGAGUUGACGAUUGACGGAGCGAAGCGACGUCAAAGCGUUCAUUAAAGUCGAGUUGGCUUAGGGAUACGUUCGUUGGGUAGGGGAGCGUUCUGUAAGCCUGUGAAGGUGUGUCGUGAGGCAUGCUGGAGGUAUCAGAAGUGCGAAUGCUGACAUAAGUAACGAUAAAGCGGGUGAAAAGCCCGCUCGCCGGAAGACCAAGGGUUCCUGUCCAACGUUAAUCGGGGCAGGGUGAGUCGACCCCUAAGGCGAGGCCGAAAGGCGUAGUCGAUGGGAAACGGGUUAAUAUUCCCGUACUUGGUGUUACUGCGAAGGGGGGACGGAGAAGGCUAUGUUGGCCGGGCGACGGUUGUCCCGGUUUAAGCGUGUAGGUGUGUGUUCCAGGUAAAUCCGGUUCACUUUAACACUGAGGCGUGACGACGAGGCACUACGGUGCUGAAGCAACAAAUGCCCUGCUUCCAGGAAAAGCCUCUAAGCAUCAGGUAACACGAAAUCGUACCCCAAACCGACACAGGUGGUCAGGUAGAGAAUACCAAGGCGCUUGAGAGAACUCGGGUGAAGGAACUAGGCAAAAUGGUGCCGUAACUUCGGGAGAAGGCACGCUGACACGUAGGUGAAGUGAUUUACUCAUGGAGCUGAAGUCAGUCGAAGAUACCAGCUGGCUGCAACUGUUUAUUAAUAACACAGCACUGUGCAAACACGAAAGUGGACGUAUACGGUGUGACGCCUGCCCGGUGCCGGAAGGUUAAUUGAUGGGGUCAGCGUAAGCGAAGCUCCUGAUCGAAGCCCCGGUAAACGGCGGCCGUAACUAUAACGGUCCUAAGGUAGCGAAAUUCCUUGUCGGGUAAGUUCCGACCUGCACGAAUGGCGUAAUGAUGGCCAGGCUGUCUCCACCCGAGACUCAGUGAAAUUGAACUCGCUGUGAAGAUGCAGUGUACCCGCGGCAAGACGGAAAGACCCCGUGAACCUUUACUAUAGCUUGACACUGAACAUUGAGCCUUGAUGUGUAGGAUAGGUGGGAGGCUUUGAAGUGUGGACGCCAGUCUGCAUGGAGCCGACCUUGAAAUACCACCCUUUAAUGUUUGAUGUUCUAACGUGGACCCGUAAUCCGGGUUGCGGACAGUGUCUGGUGGGUAGUUUGACUGGGGCGGUCUCCUCCUAAAGAGUAACGGAGGAGCACGAAGGUUGGCUAAUCCUGGUCGGACAUCAGGAGGUUAGUGCAAUGGCAUAAGCCAGCUUGACUGCGAGCGUGACGGCGCGAGCAGGUGCGAAAGCAGGUCAUAGUGAUCCGGUGGUUCUGAAUGGAAGGGCCAUCGCUCAACGGAUAAAAGGUACUCCGGGGAUAACAGGCUGAUACCGCCCAAGAGUUCAUAUCGACGGCGGUGUUUGGCACCUCGAUGUCGGCUCAUCACAUCCUGGGGCUGAAGUAGGUCCCAAGGGUAUGGCUGUUCGCCAUUUAAAGUGGUACGCGAGCUGGGUUUAGAACGUCGUGAGACAGUUCGGUCCCUAUCUGCCGUGGGCGCUGGAGAACUGAGGGGGGCUGCUCCUAGUACGAGAGGACCGGAGUGGACGCAUCACUGGUGUUCGGGUUGUCAUGCCAAUGGCACUGCCCGGUAGCUAAAUGCGGAAGAGAUAAGUGCUGAAAGCAUCUAAGCACGAAACUUGCCCCGAGAUGAGUUCUCCUGAGACUUAGAGUCUCCUGAAGGAACGUUGAAGACGACGACGUUGAUAGGCCGGGUGUGUAAGCGCAGCGAUGCGUUGAGCUAACCGGUACUAAUGAACCGUGAGGCUUAACCUUACAACGCCGAAG